rnacentral:rRNA from 1 species
CAGGCCUAACACAUGCAAGUCGAGCGGGCAUCUUCGGAUGUCAGCGGCGGACGGGUGAGUAACGCGUGGGAACGUGCCCUCUGGUUCGGAACAACUCCUGGAAACGGGAGCUAAUACCGGAUACGCCUUGCGGCUUUGUGCCGUGAGGGAAAGGCUUGCUGCCGGAGGAUCGGCCCGCGUCUGAUUAGCUAGUUGGUGGGGUAACGGCCUACCAAGGCGACGAUCAGUAGCUGGUCUGAGAGGAUGAUCAGCCACACUGGGACUGAGACACGGCCCAGACUCCUACGGGAGGCAGCAGUGGGGAAUAUUGGACACUGGGCGCAAGCCUGAUCCAGCCAUGCCGCGUGAGUGAUGAAGGCCUUAGGGUUGUAAAGCUCUUUUAUCCGGGACGAUAAUGACGGUACCGGAGGAAUAAGCCCCGGCUAACUUCGUGCCAGCAGCCGCGGUAAU